CCUCUCUAACCUGCAGCCCACAUCACAAAGCCCUGUGCUGGAGCUAAUUUCUUCCCCUAUGAAAAGUCGUUUACAAAAAGACAGUCAGAUUGAUAAGAGUGACAGUACAGCCUGCUCAGACAAUUUGCAGGCCAACCUGGGUUCAGCAGCUACAGAGCAUAGUCAAGUUUUUGAAGUUCACUCUUAUCCUAUCUCAAAAAGAAGUGUUACAGAGCACAUGGAGUCUGAGGCUAACUCCACCACACACUGUACGGAGAAACAUGGUAAGAUUUC